UACGUAGGGUGCAAGCGUUAAUCGGAAUUACUGGGCGUAAAGCGUGCGCAGGCGGUUGUGCAAGACAGGUGUGAAAUCCCCGGGCUUAACCUGGGAACUGCACUUGUGACUGCACAGCUUGAGUGCGGCAGAGGGGGAUGGAAUUCCGCGUGUAGCAGUGAAAUGCGUAGAUAUGCGGAGGAACACCGAUGGCGAAGGCAAUCCCCUGGGCCUGCACUGACGCUCAUGCACGAAAGCGUGGGGAGCAAACAGGAUUAGAUACCCUGGUAGUCCACGCCCUAAACUAUGUCAACUGGUUGUUGGGAGGGUUUCUUCUCAGUAACGUAGCUAACGCGUGAAGUUGACCGCCUGGGGAGUACGGCCGCAAGGUUG
rnacentral:rRNA from 1 species